GAUGAACGCUGGCGGCGUGCCUAAUACAUGCAAGUCGAGCGAACGCACGAGAAGCUUGCUUCUCUGAUGUUGUCGGCGGACGGGUGCGUAACACGUGGAUAACCUAACUAUCAGACUGGGAUAACUUCGGGGAACCGUAGCUACGACCGGAUAAUAUUUUGAACCGCAUGGUUCAAAAGUGAAAGACGCUCUUGCUGUCACUUAAAGAUGGAUCCGCGCUGCAUUAGCUAGUUGGUAAGGUAACUGCUUACCAAGGCAACGAUGCAUAGACGACCUGAGCGCGUCGUCGGCCACACUGGCACAGAGACACGGUCCAGACUCCGACGGUAAGCAGCAGUAGAGACUCCUACGCGAUGGGCGAAAGCCUGAUGGAGCAACACCGCGGGAGGGAUGAAGGACUUCGGAUCGUAAAGCUCUGUUAUUAGGGAAGAACUAAUGUGUAAGUAACUGUGCACAUCUUGACGGUACCUAAAGAGAAAGCCACGGCUAACUACGUG
rnacentral:rRNA from 1 species